UGUCUCACUGAAAUCAUCGGUUUGUUGAUAACCAAGUCUUAUUUAUACAAUUUUCUUCAAUAUAAAUAUUGAGAUUUCAUUUUGAAUGAAAUUUCAUGUUUUGAACGGAGCUGUGCCAGUGAUUGAUCUUAAAUACUACUCAAUAUGAAAAGCUGCAUAGUCAUACUUGUUUCUCUAUUCGGAGUUGUUCAUAUGAUUGGAAACUAUGAUUAUUCGAUCGUGAGCCCAGUUGAAAAUGUACGUUAUACAACCGAUGAGGAUUUUCCGUGUGAAAUAACGCUAACCAAUGGAAGUGAACCAACAACGCAGUAUCGCUCCAAAAGUGUGAACAUGUGUGAAUUUGCCGAAAGACGCAAAGAUUCCGAUUCAUCGGUCAAAUUAUACGGAAUAACAUUCUUUGGUUUACAUAAUGUCGUUGCUAUUGAAUACGCCAAUCCAAAUGCUAAACGCAAUUGAAGUAGAAAAUAAAAUGGGUAAUUUUGGAAAG